rnacentral:misc_RNA from 1 species
UUGGUUUAAAAUGUAAGAUAUUUUCGUUCCAAGCUUGCUUGACAUUUGAAUUGUUUUGGAAUGCGUACUUUCAAAAUUAAGGCUAUAGAUAUUAAGAAAUUCCUUUCGUUUUCUAAUAGGUUUUUAUGAAGAUUGCAUUAUAUCUACUAUUUGAAAUCCUGGUUAAACAAUCUAUAUAAGCUGUAAAGAUCUAGAAAAUUUUAUGGGCGGG